rnacentral:lncRNA from 1 species
CUCCGAUUUCCUGAGCUGCGGGCUGCAAAGGGAGGAGAAGCAGCUUCUUGCAACCCCCUCGGCUGGGCCCCGGGGUAAUUCGAUGCGGGCCUGGCGUGGCUCCCCACGUUAGACCCGGGCUCGCGUCUCGGCAGCCUCCACCCACCGGCCCACCCUACAUUUAGCGCAUCAUGUGAUCCGGAAGUUUCAUUCGGACAAACAGC